CCCCCCCAGGCGCUGGCGCCCCCCCGGGGGCUGGUGGUGGUGGUGACGGGGGGCUGCGGCUUUUUGGGGUCCCACCUGGUGCGGGUGCUGCUGGAGCACGAGCCCGAGCUGCGGGAGCUGCGCGUCUUCGACCUCCACAUCGACCCCGACGUCGCCCCCGUCCCACCUGGUGCGGGUGCUGCUGGAGCACGAGCCCGAGCUGCGGGAGCUGCGCGUCUUCGACCUCCACAUCGACCCCGACGUCGCCCACGACCCCCGGGUGCGGCUGCUGCAGGGCGAGGAUCCUUGGGGACCCCAAUAUUUUGGGAUCUAGGUUCUUGGUGACCCCAAUACCUGGGGACCCCAAUAUUUUAGGACCCCAAUACCUGGGGACCCCAAUACUUCAGGACCCCAAUACCUGGGGACCCCAAUAUUUUAGGACCCCAAUAUUUUGGGAUCUGGGUCCUUGCUGACCCCAAUACCUUGGGACCCCAAUAUUUUAGGACCCCAAUAUUUUGGGAUCUGGGUUCUUGGUGACCCCAAUAUUUUAGGACCCCAAUACUUUGGAACCCAAAUACCUGGGAACCCCAAUAUUUUAGGACCCCAAUAUUUUGCGAUCUGGGUUCCUGGGGACCCCAAUACUUUGGGACCCCAAUAUUUUAGGACCCCAAUA
rnacentral:lncRNA from 1 species